rnacentral:rRNA from 1 species
UACGUAGGGGGCAAGCGUUGUCCGGAUUUAUUGGGCGUAAAGAGCGUGUAGGCGGCCAGAUAGGUCGGUUGUGAAAACUGGAGGCUUAACCUCCAGACGUCGACCGAAACCAUCUGGCUAGAGUCCGGAAGAGGAGAGUGGAAUUCCUGGUGUAGCGGUGAAAUGCGCAGAUAUCAGGAAGAACACCCGUGGCGAAAGCGGCUCUCUGGGACGGUACUGACGCUGAGACGCGAAAGCGUGGGGAGCGAACAGG